ACUUUGGGAGAAAUAAUUUCUCCUGAGUGCAACUUUAAAAGCCGCGGAAGUCUGAGAGUUCGUGUAGAUUUAUAACUACGUGUACAUUAAAACUCGUGAGGAUAGCUACUUACCAUCUGACGAGAUUAAGCAGACAGACGAUAGGUGUGCGUCACGGGUAGGAAGGGUCGUCCUGUUUACACAAGCAGACGAUAACCCCAUGUGAAAGCAAGCAGUGGGUAAUUCGGUGGAAGUUUGCCCAUAUUGUAGCUUCAGCGCGCUCAUGAGGAAAUGCUUACCAUUAACAUUUGUAAUUAUUAAAGGCAAAAACAUUGGAAAUAUGUAUGAGUGAAUUGAUGACAACAUACGCGGUAACUGAACUAUGAGUGCGUUCGAGACCGUCAUUCUUCGCAUUAGUACAAAUUCCCGUCUAUCCCGAACGUCAAGUACGCAUCACGAGAGUUGCAAGAACUCGCACCACCUCUAGCGGCCUCUGUAGGUAGUGUGGUCAAAGAACACGUUCACGGAGCACGAGAACAACGGGAAUGACGGUGUCAAACGCACUCGAGGAUUUGGGAAACUACAGAGUCCAAUAAGUGAACAACUCACUGGUUUGUGGGGGAGCCUGAUAUCGGUCUGCAAGAGCGUAUUGGUAUUCUGAAAGAAUCUCGUGAAAUUAAAAUUAAAAUCGUUGAAGACGUGAAUUGAUUGUGAAGACCAUAGACCCAGCCUUAAUCAACGACCAACUGCCUGAAAAAUCCUAUGCUAUUCGACAGAUUCUGCAUGGCUAAUAAAAGCAUUGUACUCAAAAAGAGACAAAAACUAAUCGAAGGAAAGAAUUACAUGUAUAGAAAUUUAGGAUAAAAUGAGACCUGUCAAUGAUUGUCUUUAGAGGGUUCGAUGGCCCUUGGUACAGUGACCCGUGGGAUAUCGCCAUGUUAUCGACGACACGGAAAGAAGAUGAAUUUGAUAAGAGAGCCUCUAUCGUUACACGCAACUACAACGUCAUAAUAUAUCGCUAGUAAUUCUAGAAGCACCCCCAAAUCUCUCUCAAAUUUACAAUAUAGACCACAGGCACUCGACGUUUUAAAUAUCUAAAAUAAUAAAAAAAAAAAUUCUUCCUGUUAACAUAAUAUUCACGUGAAUACAGGAAGACAAUCUUUUUAUUAUAGAUAUUUAAAACGUCGAGUGCCUUUUUCUCAGUGUAGGAUUUGAGCUAAGAUUGGUAUCUUUUCAUGUAUUGACUUUUCAAAUUUCAAACAUUUCUACACCAUUUUAUUCUGUCCAUCUCGAUGUAGUUUCUGAAGACGAUUUUUGCAUUUUAUUAGGCAUCAUAUCAAUGAAAGUCUGGGUUGAGGUAAAUCUAAGGUUUUCAUCUCCAGAGCUUAAAGCCUGACAGUUUUAUCUGAUUUAAGGAGUUUGUGUGCUGUUUAUUGCCUUUAUGUUGUUGUGUGACGUAUCACAUCUUCUUUAUUAGUUAUGAAAAUUGUCCUCAGAAAUUGACAAAGGAGAAUGACCUUGAAGCGAUCAUUCAGUCCCUUUCACCUUUCUCAUUGAUCUUCGGUAAUUUUACUGUACGCUGAGAAUAAUGUGCGACAACAUGUAAUUUUCGUGUCUUAUUUCUAUAAUUUUCUUGGUGUUCCGUACAACAAGAGUCCUUCAACCUUGUGAAAAGAUAUAAAUAAAAUCUGGUAGAUUACAUGCUUCAUGUGAUGAUAUGCCAACAUGUUUUUGUGAAAUAGAUACAAUAUCAAA